rnacentral:tRNA from 2 species
GCCUCUAUAGCUCAGUUGGUAGAGCAACUGAUUUGUAAUCAGUAGGUCCGCGGUUCGAGUCCGUGUGGAGGCACCA